UCACACCAUUCACAACCUUAAGACACCCCUCCCAGCGUCUUCUUCUACACAGACUUGAGGAGACCCUUCCAUCUCCUCUCCAAGUCAACAACCAUAGCUUUGAGCUUAACCCUCCCUCAUUUUUCUUAAGAAACACACGCACACUGGACCAACCAGCAACGGCUCAGUCCAAACUUGCCAGAAGAAGCAGCCAUAGCAGAGAACAAAAGACCACUCUUCUAGCGCUAACUCCUUCUUCAUCUAACAAUUGAAAUCAGCGACCAUUUCCACCACAGCUAGAGCUUAUUACACGAGAGAUCUUGCGAGUUUCGAGGUCUGGUCGUAAUUCCGUUGAGGUUUCCGGUGAAGUUCUAGUCCUGCAGUUCGAGGAUGUCAUCUGGUCAGCGUUUUCAGUAAUUGUUGCGACUGUAAAAGAUCGAUCUUCUUUCAGAUUAUAUCAACACUGGAAGGAACUCAUAUAUUGGUAUAUCCAACAUGAUGAAUUUGAUAACGCUCCACUACUGUCAUGAAUCAUUCUCCAGAUGCUUGGGAUCAUAUGCAAUUCAAAGAUAUUGUUGUGAAAGCUGCUAAUGUGGACUUUGUGAAUAUAUAUCGAGUGUUUGAGUUUUUUUUUUUUGUUCUAUUUAUUUAUCAUUUUUCGUUCUUUCCUUCUUUUUCUGUUCGAAAUUUGCGCAAAUUGAUUUAUGUCAUUUUCUGUUUGUCAGUAGUUUAGGAAGAACUUGGCAUUUGGUUGAGGCACUGAUAGUAGUAAUAGUUUUGUUUUGGAUACGUUUAAUGUGUUGAAGUUAUGAUCUCUGUUUGUAAUUGUUUAGCGGUUGAAUCUAUUUAAUCUGUGGAAGAUUUGAUCUUUUUGUGA